rnacentral:rRNA from 1 species
UACGAAGGGGGCGAGCGUUGUUCGGAUUUACUGGGCGUAAAGGGCGCGCAGGCGGCUUAUUUUGUCAGGCGUGAAAGCCCCGGGCUUAACCUGGGAACUGGGUUUGAUACGGAUGGGCUAGAGUUCGGGAGAGGAGAGUGGAAUUCCCAGUGUAGAGGUGAAAUUCGUAGAUAUUGGGAAGAACACCGGUGGCGAAGGCGGCUCUCUGGACCGAUACUGACGCUGAGGCGCGAAAGCGUGGGGAGCAAACAGG